GGUAGAGUGUAUACGUGGCUGUUUGUGGCCAGGAGUGUGGCAAGGCAGACAUUUCCAACAGGACAGCCAGAGAAAACCUCACUAAUUUUUGAAUGCAGAUGUGAGGGAAGUAAGGGAACCGGCCAUGGGGAUGUCAUUCUAAGGAGAGAAAACCACAAAUGCGAAUCCCUAAGUCAGUAGUGAGCCUCCUCCUUCAAGGACCAGCAGGGAGGCCGUGUGGCAGGAGCUGAGUGCCCUACAGAGAACCUGAACCCUGAGGGGAACAGGCCCGCCACAUAGCCUUGGAAGUCACGACGGCUUCUUCACGGAAGACAGGGCCACACCAUGACGUUCUUACAACAACUUCUCAUCAAAGAGACUUCUCGCUGUGCGUGCCCGGGUUCCUCGCCAGACAGAACUGAAGACGCAUAAUGCGCUGGAGAAAGUUCAGGGAGACGAAACACCAAGAAGGAAUGCACUUGGAAAGUUGAUAAAUGGAUCCAAAGAAAUUCAGAGGAGUAAAAGGAUGAUGUUACUUCUUAGAGAACCAGGAUGUUUCUGUUUGCACUCUGUUGCAUAUCUCAACUAUAGGAGCUCUCCUCAAGAUUAAAUUUUCCCUUUUUAAAAAAAAAUGUAUCUAUUGAUUUUAUUUCACAUUGCACUGGUAAAUAAAGAAGUCUUAAAAUUAUUAUAAUCAUAUAUGAUUUUGGG